rnacentral:lncRNA from 12 species
GCUUUCUCACUGUGUCUCCUGAACCCAUGGCCCUUUCUCUGGUUCUCUUGGGCCUCCUCCAGCACAGCCCUGCGUCUGAGGAGGAGGAAGCACUCUGUCCCACCUGCUGGAAGUCUGUGAUUGCGUGAGAGCAAGGCAGGAGGCCAAGUGCUGAUAAAUCUCUUCCUCCUGGGAAGUGCCAGGCAAUGCCCCCAAAACGGAAGUGAUCUGUGGGCCAAUCUGCUAAUGAUUUAUUGCUGGAUCCUUGGGCCUGGCACCAUGGCACCGGCUGCAGCCGGCCUGUCUGUAGAAUCUUCCCAGCGGGCAUCAGAGAGCUCGAGAUUUCCAAAGUUCAAGAAUUGCAUGGUCCCUGGAUGCCCAUUGGAUGCUCCCUGCCCGAAGUCCCAUGGCAUUUGGGAAAGUACCGUGGUAAAGAGUGUUUUACCUGGAGUCAGGCAGGUUCAAGGCGAUGAUGUUCUGGAAUUGGCUCACACCAGCUUGUGA